rnacentral:rRNA from 1 species
AACGUAGGAGACGAACGUUAUCCGGAGUUACUGGGCGUAAAGGGCGUGUAGGCGGUUUGUUAAGUCUGGCGUGAAAGCUCUCGGCUAAACCGGGAGAGGUCGUUGGAUACUGGCAAACUUGAGGAUGGUAGAGGCGUGUGGAAUUCCGGGUGUAGUGGUGAAAUGCGUAGAGAUCCGGAGGAACACCAGUGGCGAAGGCGGCUACCUGGACCGGAACUGACGCUGAUGCGCGAAAGCGUGGGGAGCAAACAGG